rnacentral:rRNA from 1 species
ACGAACGCUGGCGGCGUGCUUAACACAUGCCAGUCGAACGGAAAGGCCCCUUUGGGGGUACUCGAGUGGCGAACGGGUGAGUAACACGUGAGUAACCUGCCCUUGACUUCGGGAUAACUUCAGGAAACUGGGGCUAAUACCGGAUAGGAAUCCUUGCUGCAUGGUGGGGGUUGGAAAGCUUCGGCGGUUUUGGAUGGACUCGCGGCGUAUCAGCUUGUUGGUGGGGUAGUGGCUUACCAAGGCUUUGACGGGUAGCCGGCCUGAGAGGGCGACCGGCCACAUUGGGACUGAGAUACGGCCCAGACUCCUACGGGAGGCAGCAGUGGGGAAUAUUGCACAAUGGGCGGAAGCCUGAUGCAGCAACGCCGCGUGCGGGAUGACGGCCUUCGGGUUGUAAACCGCUUUCAGCAGGGGCGAAGCUUGUGGUGACGGUACCUGCAGAAGAAGCACCGGCUAACUACGUG